rnacentral:misc_RNA from 1 species
GAUGAAGAACGUAGCGAAAUGCGAUAAGUAAUGUGAAUUGCAGAAUUCAGUGAAUCAUCGAAUCUUUGAACGCACCUUGCGCUCUUUGGUAUUCCGAAGAGCAUGCCUGUUUGAGUGUCAUGAAAAUAUCAACCUUGACUUGGGUUUUGUGCUCUAGUCUCGGCUUGGAAUUGGGUGCUUGCCGCUUUUCCGAGCGGCUCACCUUAAAUGUAUUAGCUGGAUCUGUCUUUGAGACUUGGUUUGACUUGGCGUAAUAAGUAUUUCGCUAAGGACAUUCUUCGGAGUGGCCUCGUUUCUAGGACGCUUGUCCGCUUUCCAAUACAAGUUCCACCUCGUGGACAUGACUUUUUAUUAUCUGGCCUCAAAUCAGGUAGGACUACCCGCUGAACUUAAGCAUAUCAAUAAGCGGAGGA